rnacentral:rRNA from 1 species
GGUGAACCUGCGGAAGGAUCAUUACCGAGUGCGGGCCCUCUGGGUCCAACCUCCCAUCCGUGUCUAUCUGUACCCUGUUGCUUCGGCGUGGCCACGGCCCGCCGAAGACUAACAUUUGAACACUGUCUGAAGUUUGCAGUCUGAGUUUUUAGUUAAACAAUAAUUAAAACUUUCAACAACGGAUCUCUUGGUUCCGGCAUCGAUGAAGAACGCAGCGAAAUGCGAUAAUUAAUGUGAAUUGCAGAAUUCAGUGAAUCAUCGAGUCUUUGAACGCACAUUGCGCCCCCUGGUAUUCCGGGGGGCAUGCCUGUCCGAGCGUCAUUGCUGCCCUCAAGCACGGCUUGUGUGUUGGGCUUCCGUCCCUGGUAACGGGGACGGGCCCAAAAGGCAGUGGCGGCACCAUGUCUGGUCCUCGAGCGUAUGGGGCUUUGUCACCCGCUCCCGUAGGUCCAGCUGGCAGCUAGCCUCGCAACCAAUCUUUUUAACCAGGUUGACCUCGGAUCAGGUAGGGAUACCCGCUGAACUUAAGCAUAUCAAUAAAACGGAGG